CAAGUGAUGUCAUGCUUUGUGUCCUUCCCCUGACCACUGAUGCCGCUCUGUCUGUAGCUGAUU
rnacentral:snoRNA from 1 species